rnacentral:ncRNA from 1 species
AAAAAUAAGUAAUAUUUAAUAAUUUAAGAUUUUAUUAUUUUGCCAUUAUUCUUUAUAUUGAAUAUUUUUAAAGUUUAAUUCUAGCUUUUAUAUUAAUUUUUUAAAUUAAUUAUAUGUAUUUUUUUUAAAAAUUAUUUUACAGUAAUUUAUUUUAUUAUUAAAUUUUAUAAUUUUAUAGAUAUUUAAUAAAUAUAGAUUAAUAUUGUGCCAGCAUUCGCGGUUAUACAAUUAUAUUUAAAUUAAUAUUUUUAAAUUUGUAUAUAUUUGUGUUAAUGAAUUUUUUUUUAUAAUAUUUAGGUGGAAUUUAUAUUUUAAUAAAAUUUCUUAUAAUUAGUUUAUAUUAAUUCUAUAAUUUUAAACUAGGAUUAGAUACCCUAUUAUAUUUGAUGUAAAUUUUUUUUAAUUAUUAAUAGUUAUGUUCUAUAAAAAUUAAAGAAUUUGGCGGUAAUUUUACUUUAUAGAGGAACCUGUAUAUUAAUUGAUAAACCACAAUAGUUUAUACCUUAAAUUUAUUUGUAUAUCGCUAUAUUUUGGAAUUUUUUAUAAGAAAAUUUCUUUAAUUUUGAAAUUUUAUAUUAGGUCAAGGUGCAGUUUUUUUUAGGUUUAUAUGGGUUACAAUAUUUUUAUUUUUUUAUUGAAUAAAUUGUUUAUUAUAUCAUUUUGAAAUAGGAUUUAUAAGUAAUUUAAAUAAAUUAUUUUUUUUGAAUUUAGUUUCAAAUUAUGUACAUAUCGCCCGUCGCUCUCAAUUAUAUGAGAUAAGUCGUAACAAAGUAGUUGUACCGGAAGGUGUAUCUAGAAUU